rnacentral:tRNA from 1 species
UGGAGAUGUAGGUCUGUGGUAGAGCACUUGCCCAGCAAGUAUGAGGCCCUGGGUUCAAUCCCCAACACUGCAA